rnacentral:lncRNA from 1 species
UCUCAAGAGCUCUCUCUUCUUCGUUUCGAGAAUCAAAGGCAUCGUAACAAAGCAAAGGUAAGUGAACUUAUUUGAUUCACUAUAAUAUGUCCAGUGUAAUACCCCGGAAUUUUAAUAUUAGUUUCUAAUAUUCUUUUGGAAAUUAUUUAAGUAAGAGUUGUAUGGAUUUGUGGUUUAGCGAGUGGACUGGAAGUAGUCGAGUUUUUAAUUCCGUGAAAAUGCUCUAUUUUGAAGGGUUAAGAGUUGACUUUUUAAUCAGUUGGGUUUCUCGGGAAACUUUCUUCACGAAAGCUGUAGAGUAUGGCGAUACGAGUUCGUAGACACGUGACACGCGUAAAACGGACUUCGUAUGAAGAAGUUAUGGUCAGCAGAAGUCCGUGGUUUUUCAGAAAACCCUCUUUUUCUCUUCCCUUCUCUCCCGCACCUCACCCUCACUGUCAAAGUUUUUCAGCUGACCGACCCGGACCCGGAUGACCCGACCCGAGUUUUCCGGCCGACUCCGGCCGACCCAGACGACGGCACCGGUCGGAAAAUCUUCCUCUCCUCGGCGCAAUCUUCCCUGUGUUAGUGAGUGAGGGCGACUCGGCCGGAUCGAUGCUAAUCGAUCGCCAACAGGGAGGGCAGCGACCCGGUUUGCAACCCGACCGGAAUUCUCCCUCCGGCGGCGGCGACGCAGCUUGGAACCGAUCGGGAUAGGCUCUCCUUGGUGCCCUGGUUCUUUUUCUGGUAGUCUCCUAGCAUGACUCACGGUGUAGAGUUACAGUGGUGGAUUUCCACCUUCCUACGAGUUUCCGGCAUGCUCCGGCCGUUUUAGGUGAAACCUCAGGUAUAAAAGAUGCUCCUCUCUCUUCAAUCUACAAGUUUUGUGUUAUGAGCUUGGGCUAAUUCGUAGGUUGGUAGGGUGGCGCGUGGGGCCCACUUGCCGCCGGCGCGUGGCGGCGCCUUCGGCAGAGAUUGGGUGGUUAGGAGUAAUUGUUAGGUUGUGCUUGUCGAUACGAGUACGUGAGCAUGUAGAUUGUAGGUUUCAAUGUUGCUUGAGUAUGUUGGGGCUUUGCCGAAAGUCGUUUCUUUCGGUGUUGGUUUAUGGAAUCUGAACAUAGAGGUAAUCAUUUUUGGUUAUCAUAGGCUGUUCAUGGGUUUCGGUGACCUUGGGAGGUCUCAUACGAGGAUUGCCUCGUUAUGGUAAAUCUUUGGGUUAGGUUUUAGCUAGUUGGCGUAAAGGGUAAUCACUUGGUUGUUAGUGACAAAGUUGGUCAUUAAGUUGAUCGCUUGUUUUGUUGGUCACUAAGUUGUUUUGUGCUACCUAGGUGAUUGACAAAGUUGGUGUUGUGCUUGUGUUGUGCGUGCGAAGACGCAGCUGGAUUUGAGGUGAGUAACAUCUCACCAAGGUCCACUUUGGGACCAAAUAUUUAUAAAUUAUUAUGAUGAUGAUUGUGAUGUUGAUUUUGGAGNNNNNNNNNNNNNNNNNNNNUUUUCUGUUAAAAAUAAAUCUUUCAAAAGGACUUUCGAUCAUGUGAUAUGGUGAUGUUGAAAUAUGGUUGUUGAUAGAUUAUUCUAGUGGGAAUAUCUAUGUCUUUGUUUAUAUAAAUAUAUCUAGGUGGAAAGAUAUAAUUUAUGAAGUGCUCUUGUGAUGUUGUUGAUGAUAUUUUUAUAUUUGAAUUGUUGUUUAAAUAGUCAAACCGGGUUCCUAGCCUUUAAUCGGGUGAUAGGUUACGGUUAUGAUUAUAUUAUUAUUUUGUGAUUUGAUAAGUGUUAUGUUGGGAGAGUAUUGGAAUGUGUGCCUUAGUGGUGAUUGUGUGCAUUAGUUGUGUAUGUGUGUGCCUUAGUGGUGAUUGUGUGCAUUAGUUGUGUAUGUGUGUGCCUUUGUGGUGAUUAUUAGAUUAGGAGCCUUCGUGGUGGACCGGGAACCAAGCCUUGGCCGGGUGAUUGGUUACGGUCAGUAUAGAGCUCUAGUCUGUCAGUUGGUACUUCAUAGGGGAUGACUAAGUGUUGGCGAACCCAUGAGUACGCAUUUGUUUGGUUACUUAUGGGGGAUGACUAAGUGUUGGCGAACUCAUAAGUAAGAGUAGAGAAAUGUUUGUGUGAUGUUCUUAUGUGUUGUUUAAAUUUCUUGCUUUGAGUAUCUCUUGAACUAUGCUUAUUCGCAGGAGAUUCUUAAAUCUUAAUUGUGUGAUUUUAAUAGAAUUCUUGAACUAUGUUUAUUUGUAGGAUUCAUUUAUGAUUUUGAGUGAUUUUAAAUUAUUAUGUUUUCUUAAUUGUUUCUUUUGAAUUCUCUUACUUUUAGGCGAUUCCUGAACUAAGUUGCUAAUACAGGAAUUACCAGUUUUAAUUAUAUGUGAUGUUGGGAUUGUUGGGUUAUUAUUUUGGGAGUUACUCAUACGAGCUUUUUAGCUUACUGGGUUUGUUGUUUACAACCCGGUGCACCAACUCAUAGUGUAGGGGUUAGACCUGUAGGUGAUGAUCAGAAGGUAGGAGGCAGUGGCCUACGAGCUAGGUUUUUGACGAUAUACAAUUAUUUGUUUUUUAUGGUAGUUGUUUUUAAGCUCAUGUAAGCGAAGUAGUUUUUAGUUGACUUUUGGAAGUUAAUGUAAUUAAGGAGAUUAAAUGUUUAACUCGGUUGAUGAGUUUAUCGACAUUUAUAUUUUCAGUAUUUGUUUUUAGUUUUAGAAAUUGUUGAGCAGGAUUAUGGGAUAUUAAGAUUUUGAGUUUUAUCAUGCCCAAAUUUUUGAAAAUUUUAUCCUUCGAAAAUUGGGGUGUGACAGUUUGGUAUCAGAGCAUAGGUUUACAUAUUUGGUGAUAAUCAAUAUUUUGAAAUGAUGGCCCGACUGCAGCGGAUCACCAUCAUAAGCUCUUCGGUAUUGAUAUGUCAUUGGGUAUGUGAAGGGUUAGGUGUUGUCUCUAGGUCAAUAGGAUGUCAGAGUAGAGAAUAGUCUGUUAGUGGGAUUUUGAAUCUUGGUGGUCCAUCUUAAGUUAGUGCCUUGGUUAAUAAAUGUCGCAUUUGACUUAUACUUGGAUUUAAGUUCUAUGCAUGAGUUAACCAAGGUUUACUUGCUUCUUAGGUGAUGGAUCCUCAGCGAGGGAGAGCUAGAGGCAGAGGUAGGGCCAGAGGGGCCCGUAGAGCCAGAGGGGCAGGUGAGGCCAGAGGCAGAGGUAGUUGUUUUUAAGCUCAUGUAAGCGAAGUAGUUGUUACUAGACUUUUGGAAAUUAAUGUAAUUAAGGAGAUUAAAUGUUUAACUCGGUUGAUGAGUUUAUCGACAUUUAUAUUUCCAGUAUUUGUUUUUAGUUUUGGAAAUUAUUGAGCAGGAUUAUGGGAUAUUAAGAUUUUGAGUUUUAUAAUGCCCAAAUUUUUGAAAAUUUUAUCCUUCGAAAAUUAGGGUGUGACAUCCGGUCCUAAAUUUGGUUGUUUGGUGAAGUUCUAAACUACUAUAUCUUGUCCUACAUAUGUACAGGUUUUGAAAGUAAACUUAUAAAACAGAUAACCACAUAUGCCCUAGUUUGAUGCAAUGUGAAACUGAGCCGUUUGAUGCAAUUGUUUCUUACUUUAAUUGAUGCUCUUAUUGAUCCUCGAAGGCUGGGUACAUCUUUCAACGUAAAGGCAGUUGAUGAAUUUGUCUCAGACUCUUGUUUAUGGAUACUUCAAAAUUAUUCUCGUGCCCAGAUUCUUUUGAAGAAUUCAGUUUUAUUCUGUAUAAAUAUAUAUAUAUAUAUAUAUUAUAUAUAUAUAUAUAGGCCGGAUGUGGAGCGCACGUCCGCACUGUCCUUAAAGUGCGCACGUCCCUCCG